AUGCUCUUUGCGGAUGAUGUGGUGCUAGUUGACGAUAGUCGGACGGGGGUAAAUAGGAAGUUAGAGUUAUGGAGACAAACCUUGGAAUCGAAAGGGUUUAGGCUUAGUAGAACUAAAACCGAGUACAUGAUGUGCGGUUUCAGUACUACUAGCUGUGAGGAGGAGGAGGUUAGCCUUGAUGGCCAGGUGGUACCUCGGAAGGACACCUUUCGGUAUUUGGGGUCAAUGUUGCAGGAGGAUGGGGGUAUUGAUGAAGAUGUGAACCAUCGAAUCAAAGCCGGAUGGAUGAAGUGGCGCCAAGCUUCUGGCAUUUUCUGUGACAAGAGAGUGCCAUAA
rnacentral:rRNA from 1 species